rnacentral:rRNA from 1 species
CCUACGGGGGGCAGCAGUGAGGAAUAUUGGUCAAUGGGCGCGAGUCUGAACCAGCCAAGUAGCGUGAAGGAUGACUGCCCUACGGGUUGUAAACUUCUUUUAUAAGGGAAUAAAAUGAUGCACGUGUGCCUUUUUGUAUGUACUUUAUGAAUAAGGAUCGGCUAACUCCGUGCCAGCAGCCGCGGUAAUCCGGAGGAACCGAGCGUUAUACGGAUUUAUUGGGUUGAAAGGGUGCGUAGAUGGGUUGUUAAGUCAGUGGUGAAAGUUUGCGGCUCAACCGUAAAAUUGCAAUUUAAACUGGCAGUCUUGAAGACAGUAGAGGUGGGCGGACUUGGUGGUGUAGCGGUAAAAUGC